rnacentral:rRNA from 1 species
CUAGUAUAGCAUUUAUACCGUGAACUGCGAAUGGCUCAUUAAAUCAGUUAUCGUUUAUUUGAUAAUACCUUACUACUUGGAUAACCGUGGUAAUUCUAGAGCUAAUACAUGCUGAAAAUCCCGACUUCGGAAGGGAUGUGUUUAUUAGAUAAAAAACCAAUGCCCUUCGGGGCUCUUUGGUGAUUCAUGAUAACUUUACGGAUCGCAUAGCCUUGCGCUGGCGACGGUUCAUUCAAAUUUCUGCCCUAUCAACUUUCGAUGGUAAGGUAUUGGCUUACCAUGGUUUCAACGGGUAACGGGGAAUUAGGGUUCGAUUCCGGAGAGGGAGCCUGAGAAACGGCUACCACAUCCAAGGAAGGCAGCAGGCGCGCAAAUUACCCAAUCCCGACACGGGGAGGUAGUGACAAUAAAUACUGAUACAGGGCUCUUUUGGGUCUUGUAAUUGGAAUGAGUACAAUUUAAACCUCUUAACGAGGAACAAUUGGAGGGCAAGUCUGGUGCCAGCAGCCGCGGUAAUUCCAGCUCCAAUAGCGUAUAUUAAAGUUGUUGCAGUUAAAAAGCUCGUAGUUGAAACUUGGGCCUGGCUGGCGGGUCCGCCUCACCGCGUGCACUCGUCCGGCCGGGCCUUCCUUCUGAAGAACCUCAUGCCCUUCACUGGGCGUGUUGGGGAAUCAGGACUUUUACUUUGAAAAAAUUAGAGUGUUCAAAGCAGGCCUUUGCUCGAAUACGUUAGCAUGGAAUAAUAAAAUAGGGCGUGCGUUUCUAUUUUGUUGGUUUCUAGAGACGCCGCAAUGAUUAACAGGAACAGUCGGGGGCAUCAGUAUUCAGUUGUCAGAGGUGAAAUUCUUGGAUUUAC